GAUGAACGCUAGCUACAGGCUUAACACAUGCAAGUCGCGGGGCAGCAUGGGGGUUGCUUGCAAUCCCCGAUGGCGACCGGCGCAUGGGUGAGUAACGCGUAUCCAACCUGCCCUUCACCACGGGAUAACCCGGCGAAAGUCGGACUAAUACCGUAUGUUGUCCAUUGACGGCAUCCGAUUUGGACGAAAGGUUUGGCGGUGAAGGAUGGGGAUGCGUCCGAUUAGCUGGACGGCGGGGUGACGGCCCACCGUGGCGACGAUCGGUAGGGGUUCUGAGAGGAAGGUCCCCCACACUGGAACUGAGACACGGUCCAGACUCCUACGGGAGGCAGCAGUGAGGAAUAUUGGUCAAUGGGCGUAAGCCUGAACCAGCCAAGUAGCGUGCAGGAUGACGGCCCUAUGGGUUGUAAACUGCUUUUAUGCGGGGAUAAAGUGGCCCACGUGUGGGUUUUUGCAGGUACCGCAUGAAUAAGGACCGGCUAAUUCCGUG
rnacentral:rRNA from 1 species